rnacentral:tmRNA from 1 species
GGGGGCGACAUGGUUUCGACGUGGGUUACAAACCUCUGGGUGCAUGCCGAGGUGCAGAUCACCUCGUAAAUCCAUCUGCAAACCUUAUAGUUGCCAACGACGACAACUACGCUCUCGCUGCUUAAAAACCAGCGCUAGAGCCUUCUGACCGGGUCCGUGCUUGUGCGGUCCGGAGCCAGGAGUCAUCAAACACAAGCUCGCCCGAGGGUUCGUCCAGGACCCGACGGUUAACUGCCUAUUACUGGACUGGCUGUCAGUUGUCCCUGUCCGUCGGGUAGCUGCCAGCAAGAAAAAAGGCGGAAUACGCAUGUAGAUCCUUGAGCAGCGGACUUGCGGACGCGGGUUCGAUUCCCGCCGCCUCCACCA